rfam:Aedes albopictus isolate Foshan contig30408, whole genome shotgun sequence.
CUUCUCGUGGCGUAGAGGCAACGCGCCUGUCUAGUGAGUAGGAGUCGUGAGUUCGAGUCUCACCGAGAGGA